rnacentral:rRNA from 1 species
UCACAUUCCAAGCACCGGUUAUCGUCCGAUCACCGAAGUUAAACAACAUCGAGCCUAGUGAGUACUUAGAUGGGGUACAGCUUGGGAAACCUUUGU